CUUUAAUGCCGUAAAUGACCAGUAACGCCUGUACCUGUCAAAAACCGAUGUUACUGGACAUGUGGUCAAGCAGUUCUUUCAUUUACAACAAGUGAACAACCCUUUGAAUUCUUUUUCUUGGUUACAGUGUUAAUUUGAGCGCAAAAGUGGUCAAAAUCUUGGUUCUUGUCGGCGGCCUCUUCAGCUGCCUGCACCUUUUAAGCUUUCAGCUUUUUUUUCUGACGUAGAUGGUUGUGUUGGGCUUCAGGCUGAGUUCACCUGGUUUAAAGCUGAUUUUGUACUUCAGGCAGUAUUAUGGGCAGUGCUUUGGGUAGUUUGCUGCCACCAACUCGAACUGAUACCCCUUUACAGGUACUCUAAUAUGGAUACCAUGAUUGUGUCUCUAGCUUCUCUGGAAGUCAUUUUAGUCCAGAACUCAAGUUAACCCUUCGGACUCAAGUUACAAACCUUGGACAUUGAAGGUUUCAGUACUUAUUUUAAGGAAUCUAUGGUUUUCGGAAAUCAUGUGUUUUGUGCGAUUUUGAUUAACGGUUUCUUCUGACCAAAACCGAACAUGUUUUUGUGCAAAACCAUCACGAUUUAUACAUAUUCGUAACAAGACAGCUACUCGACAAUACUACAUUUUAAUCUGCCAACUUUGUAAUUCUGGAUUCUAUAAUGGUGUAAAAGUUGAGUAAACCUUUGGUGGCAUGUGGUCAA